GGACAGGAUCUCAAGAAAUAUGGGCACAAACUCUUUCCAGAUUCCUGAAUGUAACACGACAACAAGGAAAGAGUCAUUCUACCCGAGGACCAUCAGGGAUUGGAAUACCUUACCCUCCCCAGUUACAUCUGUCAGCAGCCUUGAAUCGUUCAAGAGGCUCCUGACAAACAAAUAAAUCAAAAGCCCUUGUUUUUAAUCCCCACUGUUAAAUAUUUGUAUAGCACCUUUUUGUUUUUGUUUGAUAUUUUAAUCAAAAUUAUUUUUGCACACACCCAAAAGUGACUGAAUAGUCAACAUGAUGACGGUGGUCACUAACUGAUAGAAGUAGAAGUAGAAAUCUCCAUCCAAGUAACAGUUUGUAAAAGUAAACCAUUAUAGGUCAAAUUACAGUCUUCAACCCAGAGCCUUGGCAAAUGCAUAGAUGCCAACCAUUACGAUUUUUCCGUAGUUUUUCCGAUUUUGCGAUAAAAACUACGCUAUUACGGUCAAAGUCGAAUAGUUACGGAUUCCCAAUCAUCGACGUUCAAUUUUGUAAAACGCGGAUUUUUAUCAUUACUUUUCCGACCUGGUCCGGAAUUUAGGAAACGCCAAUGUAAUGCUUCCGGUUUCUCGGGAGUUAUCAACCUAUUGUUGGGUAACCAACUGACUUUCGAAGAGGCAAACUUGCAUUUUAUUAAGUAGCUUUCCCCCUUUCUCUACUUCUCCUUGACAAAACGAAAAUGUUUGAGUCGAGAACAUCUGAACAAUUAAUGAAUGGAAUACAUACUACAGACAACAUGUUACAUGACAAAUUUUAGUGUACAUCACUUUGCAACCACUCGUCAGUAAUUUUUAUUGGUAAAUGCACGUUUAUGAAUGAUUACUGAAAACUUUUCAAAAAUACGGAAAAUUUGAUAGUUUGUUACUGAUUGUGUCAAAAGGGGGUUGGCAUCUAUGCAAAUG
rnacentral:lncRNA from 1 species